UAGGGAAUCUUCGGCAAUGGACGGAAGUCUGACCGAGCAACGCCACGUGAGUGAAGAAGGUUUUCGGAUCGUAAAGCUCUGUUGUAAGAGAAGAACGAGUGUGAGAGUGGAAAGUUCACACUGUGACGGUAUCUUACCAGAAAGGGACGGCUAACUACGUGCCAGCAGCCGCGGUAAUACGUAGGUCCCGAGCGUUGUCCGGAUUUAUUGGGCGUAAAGCGAGCGCAGGCGGUUAGAUAAGUCUGAAGUUAAAGGCUGUGGCUUAACCAUAGUAGGCUUUGGAAACUGUUUAACUUGAGUGCAAGAGGGGAGAGUGGAAUUCCAUGUGUAGCGGUGAAAUGCGUAGAUAUAUGGAGGAACACCGGUGGCGAAAGCGGCUCUCUGGCUUGUAACUGACGCUGAGGCUCGAAAGCGUGGGGAGCAAACAGGAUUAGAUACCCUGGUAGUCCACGCUGUAAACGAUGAGUGCUAGGUGUUAGACCCUUUCCGGGGUUUAGUGCCGUAGCUAACGCAUUAAGCACUCCGCCUGGGGAGUACGACCGCAAGGUUG
rnacentral:rRNA from 1 species